UGUGCCUUAGUAAACCUGCUUUAUUGUCUGCUCUGUUCUGCAGGAUGGGGCGGCCCAGGAGGCUACGUUUACCAGAAGGCCUACGUGGAAUUCUUCUGCACGAAGGAGAAGCCGGACCAACUCAUCGAGAAGAGCAACGUGUUCCCUUCCCUCACGUACAUCGCCGUGAACAAGGAAGGCGAGUCGUUCUCGAACAUCCCUCCGAACGCUGUGAACGCUGUCACAUGGGGAGUGUUCCCUGGCAAGGAGAUCACCGAGGACAGCGUUGACCCGGCGAGCUUCAUGGUCUGGAAAGAUGAAGCGUUUGAGAUCUGGUCCAAGGGAUGGGCCUGCCACUUCCCUGAGGGCGACCCAUCCAGGGAGUUGCUAGAGCAGGUACUUUCAGAUCGCUCGUCGUUCUUUAUUUGCGCUAGUAACAGGCUCAGAGAGACCUUUUGUGCAGAUAAAUGCUUUGCUUCUACUCCCGAUAUCUGA
rnacentral:rRNA from 1 species